rnacentral:rRNA from 1 species
CGCAUCUGUGCAUGCAGCAUAUCAAUAAGCGGAGGAAAAGAAACUAACAAGGAUUCCCCUAGUAACGGCGAGUGAAGCGGGAAGAGCUCAAAUUUGAAGUCUUAAAGGGUUUCCCUUUACGAAUUGUAGUUUAAAGAAGUGUUUUCUGUUGAGGUUUUGGUAAAAGUUCUUUGGAAUAGGACAUCAUAGAGGGUGAGAAUCCCGUAUUUGACCUUUACUUUCAACUUUGUGAUACACUUUCAAAGAGUCGGAUUGUUUGGGAAUGCAGUCCAAAAUGGGUGGUAAAUUUCAUCUAAAGCUAAAUAUUGGCGAGAGACCGAUAGCGAACAAGUACCGUGAGGGAAAGAUGAAAAGAACUUUGAAAAGAGAGUUAAACAGUACGUGAAAUUGUCAAAAGGGAAGCGUUUGACACCAGUGUUGUUUUUCUGAAAAUCAAUUAAAGAACUGUUUAUGCUAAGUUGUUUAGACUUUAUCAGCUAUACUGCUUAGUUUUGAGCUUUUCUUAAUGCACUUUUCAGUUAACAAGUCAACAUCAAUUUCUUUUGCUGUAAAAAGGCUUGAGGAAGGUGGCUUGAGAUUCGUCUUAAGUGUUUAUAGCCUCUUGCCUAUGCAGUCGGAGAGAUUGAGGUCUGCAGCGUAGAUCCUUCGGGGCUAAAUGCAUUUGUGCUAAGUUAUAGCAUUUUAUAGACGACUUGUUGACUAUGAUUUGUCUUGUAGCUUACUCGCUUAUGUUAUUUUACCUACGCUUAGGAUGUUGACUGAUAUGUAGUCGUA